rnacentral:rRNA from 1 species
UCUUCCACAAUAGACGAAAGUCUGAGGGAGCAACGCCGCGUGAGUGAUGAAGGGUUUCGGCUCGUAAAACUCUGUUGUUGGAGAAGAACAGGUGUCAGAGUAACUGUUGACAUCUUGACGGUAUCCAACCCGAAAGCGACGGAUAACUACGUGCAAGCAGCCGCGGUAAUACGUAGGUGGCAAGCGUUGUCCGGAUUUAUUGGGCGUAAAGCGAGCGCGGGCGGUUCUUUAGGUCUGAUGUGAAAGCCUUCGGCUUAACCGGAGAAGUGCAUCGGAAACCGGGAGACUUGAGUGCAGAAGAGGACAGUGGAACUCCAUGUGUAGCGGUGAAAUGCGUAGAUAUAUGGAAGAACACCAGUGGCGAAGGCGGCUGUCUGGUCUGUAACUGACGCCGAGGCUCGAAAGCAUGGGUAGCGAACAGG